CCGAAAGGGGCGGCCAACCGGGUGAGAUAUUUGCAAACAGAUAUGGCCUCCAAGUGGCUCCGCAUCUUGGUUCUACUUCUGCUGCGUCUUGCAACCUCCGAGUCGCCAAAACGACAGUUGAGUUGGUGGCACAAACAGUACUACCAGUCGUUAUGGCAACAGAGGCUGCGCUUCACGACGACUCCCCGGCCAGGAGCCACUCCCGAAUCGGAUGAAGCCAGACUGGUGUAUCCCUGCUACUGCUACAAGCCAACUCCCGAGGGCUUGGCCACUGCCAGUCCGGUGGAGCAGCGAAUGAUCGAGACUAAGGAAAUAUUCUUCCUGAACAAAUAGUGGGAUGUGCGGUAAUGAUGUACACAACGAUAUGCAGUCGAAAUAGAACAGCUGAUGUUGGCACAGCAUAAAGCAAAUAUGAAACAUCAUGGGCAUUAUACACACUCAAUCAAUCGAUGACUUUUGAUGCCUGUCUAAACACUUGCAGCUGCAUCUAUUUGGCCACCAUCUACAAGCGCCAUGAGCAAUUAGCCUAAAUUACUGUAUUAAGUGCACUCAAAUCGACAUUAUUAUUAAUCAUUUUCUGAAUUUAACAGCCAAUAAAGUGAUUUCACUGCAGCUGGAAAGGCUAUUAAAAGCA